rnacentral:piRNA from 1 species
UAGAAGGUGAAAACCAAGGACCUAGGAAA